AAGUCGUAACAAGGUUUCCGUAGGUGAACCUGCGGAAGGAUCAUUACCUAGAGUUGCGGGCUUUGCCUGCCAUCUCUUACCCAUGUCUUUUGCGUACCAUCGUUUCCUCGGCGGGCUCGCCCGCCGUUUGGACAACUUUAAAUCCACUUGCAGUUGCAAUCAGCGUCUGAAAAACAUAAUAAUUACAA
rnacentral:misc_RNA from 1 species